AAUGGAUGGAUGCUAAUUUUUGUUGUUUUCCAUUUCCAAAAUUAACUACUGGUAUUUAAUCAUCCUCCAUUCUUAUUUUCAUUCAUCAAUUCACACUAACACUAUGGUUGAAAUGAUCAUAAAAGGGUUAUUCAGGAGGUACGAGAGAUGGAAUCCUGUACAUCCUACUCUAGGAGCCUUUUGGGGCAUGGGACUAGGCUUUGGCUGUGGCGUCGGAUGGGGCCCUGGCUUCGGUCCUGAGGUCAUUGGUUACGUUGGUGCUGGCUGCGGUGUUGGAUUUAGUGUCGGCAUAACUUUUGCUGGUUUUGGCAUUGGUCUUCCUGCUAAUUACAUCUUUCAACUUCCUUAUAGUGCUAUUGUGGCAACAUCGAAUCAGGCAUUACCAUUUUUCCGAUCCAGUCCUCUUCUCAACGGAAAAGAUGUUACGGGGAAUGGGUUGAAUGAUGUUUCUCCUGGCAUGUCUUUCUUUCCAAGAGAAACCAGCAGAAGAUUUUCAAGUUCUAAUCAAAAAGCUUUGUUGGACAUGCAGAGGACGUUUUCCGUUCAUGCCAAGUCAUUUUCUAAAGAUUUAGAAACAUUUUGUAGCCAAUUCUUCCACCCGCGCAAAGGAUCGAAAAAUAAGCCAGGUGGUUGGUCAGUUGAUUAGAAGGUUGGAACACUGUUAGAAUGUAGAAUUUAUUUGAUUGUCUUGUUCCCCACAUCAACAUCAUUAGUAAGGAAGAAAGCUCAGUAUGAAACUAGAUACUAGAAUAGGUCCAAGAGAUUGAUGUCGAAAGUUUACGCUGUGCAAAUUACAAAGUUUGAGCACCUCACGGAAUUAGCAUUAUGAUACAAUCAGUUAACACCUUCAGAAGAUGUAGUUUUUGUCAUAGAGAUCCAUGCACACAUUUAGACACAAUCUAAGAUCGGAAAUAGAUGGAUGAUUUGUAAAGCAGAAGUUCAAAAUCUAACUUUGAAUUGGACUGACAAACUUUGGAGUAGUGUUAGACAACAGUCUCUUUAAAAUGAAACUAGUUCCUGGUCUUUUCAUCCAUGAAGCACCUUGCAGAUUAUAAUGCAUGUCAUUAUGGUGGUUGGAUUGUGUACUCAGUUCAAAUUCGAAUAAAAUUUAUAAGGUUACAUAAUUUUUUA